rnacentral:rRNA from 1 species
UACAGAGGGGGCAAGCGUUAUUCGGAAUUAUUGGGCGUAAAGGGCGCGUAGGCGGCUUGGCAAGUGGAAGGUGAAAUCCCUCGGCUUAACCGAGGAACUGCCCUCCAAACUGCUUCGCUUGAGACCGGGAGAGGUGAGUGGAAUUCCGAGUGUAGAGGUGAAAUUCGUAGAUAUUCGGAAGAACACCAGUGGCGAAGGCGGCUCACUGGACCGGCAUUGACGCUGAGGUGCGAAAGCGUGGGGAGCAAACAGG